rnacentral:lncRNA from 1 species
GUGGGCAGGCUUAGCCCUUUCCUCUCACCUUUCAUUCAGGAGAUCCUGAGGUCUCAGACUGAAGACAGGCCUGUUCCGUGUUGUCUUCUCAUCAGCAUUGGCCAGGGAUCAGCUGGGAGCCUACUGGCUCUGUUUUGUGAUCCCACAUGGAGGGUGAUGCUCUGAUUUCCCAUUGCCUGGCUCACAGAUCUACAUCUU